AGAGAUGGACAGUACAUCAGCUUCAGCUGGCCUCAUGAUUAGCUUUUAUGACCAUGAAAAAACACUUCAGGAAAUGCUGUUGGUGAUGCAUGCUGCUCAGGCUAACUUUGAACUUGCCUUGCUGCUGAGGAGGACCGUGAAAUCCUGAUUCUCCUCUCUCUACUCCACAGUGUGUAAGUUUAGGACUGCCAACUUGAUGAAACUCUCCGACUUCUGUCUCAAGAGUGUCUCUGGACACAUCCUCUUCGGUCAAGAUCCCUGACUCAUGCCAUACUGCAUUCCUGCAGUGAUUCUGAGACCUAACCUGCCUAAGAAAAACUUGCCCUUCAACUAUUUCCUCACACUCUCUGGUAUCUAUUACUAUUCCUGGCCCAAAAUCCACAUUAGAAACUCUGCCUUACCUCCUUCUACCUUUGAUUUUCCAUCACAUUGCAUUUUGUGCCCUUGCAAUGGCUUUCAUCCUCAUUAUCCCUAAAAUAUCUAAUUCAUUAAGAUCCUCAAUGCUUGUCAAUAAUCUCAUUUUAAGUUACAUCUUUCACAAUUUAAUUCCUUUUUUAAAUUAUUAUUGACACUUGUCUAUACACUUUGGAAAAGCACACUGCUUUGCUUUCUGUUCACAUAUACUUACUUAUUGAAAGCACACUUUGUCCCAUGAUUUCACCUGCCAGCACAGGCCAAAAGUCUUGGUAGACCAAACACUGGCCUAGGAGGUUAGAGUUCAUUGUGUGCUUCCUCCAGCCAAACUGAGGUUCAAUCUUCUUUUUGUU